rnacentral:rRNA from 1 species
UAAACGCUGGCGGCGUGCUUAACACAUGCAAGUCGAACGAAGUUUUUCUUUCGGGAGGAACUUAGUGGCGGACGGGUGAGUAACGCGUGGGUAACCUGCCCUGUACAGGGGGACAACAGCUGGAAACGGCUGCUAAUACCGCAUAAGCCCUUAGCACUGCAUGGUGCAUAGGGAAAAGGAGCAAUCCGGUACAGGAUGGACCCGCGUCUGAUUAGCCAGUUGGCAGGGUAACGGCCUACCAAAGCGACGAUCAGUAGCCGAUCUGAGAGGAUGUACGGCCACAUUGGGACUGAGACACGGCCCAGACUCCUACGGGAGGCAGCAGUGGGGAAUAUUGCACAAUGGAGGAAACUCUGAUGCAGCGACGCCGCGUGAGUGAAGAAGUAUUUCGGUAUGUAAAGCUCUAUCAGCAGGAAAGAAAAUGACGGUACCUGACUAAGAAGCACCGGCUAAAUACGUG